rnacentral:rRNA from 1 species
GUAGGUGGCAAGCGUUGUCCGGAAUUAUUGGGCGUAAAGCGCGCGCAGGCGGUCCUUUAAGUCUGAUGUGAAAGCCCACGGCUCAACCGUGGAGGGUCAUUGGAAACUGGGGGACUUGAGUACAGAAGAGGAAAGCGGAAUUCCAAGUGUAGCGGUGAAAUGCGUAGAGAUUUGGAGGAACACCAGUGGCGAAGGCGGCUUUCUGGUCUGUAACUGACGCUGAGGCGCGAAAGCGUGGGGAGCAAACAGGAUUAGCUACCCUGGUAGUCCACGCCGUAAACGAUGAGUGCUAAGUGUUAGGGGGUUUCCCGCCCCCCUUAGUGCUGCAGCUAACGCAUUAAGCACUCCGCCUGGGGAGUACGGCCGCAAGGCUG